CACUGAAUUUAUUUAAAGGGCCGCAGUAUUUUGACUGUGCAAAGGUAGCAUAAUAAUUAGUCUUUUAAUUGAAGGCUUGUAUGAAUGAUUGGACGAGAUAUAAGCUGUCUUAAAUUAAAUUUUAGAAUUUUAUUUUUUAGUUAAAAAGCUGAAAUUAUUUUAAAAGACGAGAAGACCCUAUAGAUCUUUAUAUAAAUAAUAAUUAUAAAUUAUUUUAGAUUUAUUUUAAUUAUAAUUAAUUUUAUAUUUUAUUGGGGUGAUAAUGAAAUUUAAUAAACUUUCAGUUUUAUUAUAACAUAAAUUAAUGAAUUAUUGAUCCAUUUUUAAUGAUUAAAAGUUUAAGUUACCUUAGGGAUAACAGCGUAAUUAUUUUGGAGAGUUCAUAUCGAUAAAAUAGUUUGCGACCUCGAUGUUGGAUUAAGAUUAAUUUUGGGUGUAGCUGUUCAAAAUAUUAAGUCUGUUCGACUUUUAAUUUCUUACAUGAU
rnacentral:rRNA from 1 species